AGUGAACGCUGGCGGUAGGCCUAACACAUGCAAGUCGAACGGCAGCACCGUAAGAGCUUGCUCUUACGUGUGUCGAGUGUCGGACGGGUCAGUUAUACUUCGGAAUCUACUUUUUCGUGGGUGAUAACGUAGGGUAACUUACGCUAAUACCGCAUACGUCCUACUUGUGUAAGCAGGGGAUCUUCUGACCUUGCGCGAUUGUAUGAGCCUAUGUCGGAUUAGCUAGUUGGCUGGUUAAAGGCCUACCAAGGCGACGAUCCGUAUCUGGUCUGAGAGGAUGAACAGACAGACUGGAAGGGAGAAACGGUACAGACUCCUACGGGAGGAAGCAGUGGGGAAUAUUGGACGAUGGGCGAAAGGCUGAUCCAGCAAUACCGCGUGGGGGAAGAAGGAGUUCGGGUUGUAAAGCCCUGUUGUUGGGAAAGAAAAGAAGCAGGUUAAUACCCGGCUGUUAUGACGGUACCCAAAGAAUAAGCACCGGCUAACUUCGUG
rnacentral:rRNA from 1 species